rnacentral:rRNA from 1 species
CCCGCUGAACUUAAGCAUAUCAAUAAGCGGAGGAAAAGAAACCAACAGGGAUUGCCUCAGUAACGGCGAGUGAAGCGGCAACAGCUCAAAUUUGAAAUCUGGCUCCCUCGGGGCCCGAGUUGUAAUUUGUAGAAGAUGCUUCGGGUGUGGUUCUGGUCUAAGUUCCUUGGAACAGGACGUCAUAGAGGGUGAGAAUCCCGUAUGUGACCUGGUACCUAUGCCCAUGUGAAGCUCUUUCAACGAGUCGAGUUGUUUGGGAAUGCAGCUCAAAACGGGUGGUAAAUUUCAUCUAAAGCUAAAUACUGGCCAGAGACCGAUAGCGCACAAGUAGAGUGAUCGAAAGAUGAAAAGCACUUUGGAAAGAGAGUUAAACAGUACGUGAAAUUGUUGAAAGGGAAGCGCUUGCGACCAGACUUGCGCACCGUCGAUCAUCCGGUGGUCUCCCCGGUGCACUCGACUCUGCUCAGGCCAGCAUCGGUUUUGGUGGUUGGAUAAAGUCCUUGGGAAUGUGGCUCCCUUCGGGGAGUGUUAUAGCCCAAGGUGCAAUGCAGCCUUCUGGGACCGAGGACCGCGCUUUGGCUAGGAUGCUGGCGUAAUGGUUGUAAGCGACCCGUCUUGAAACACGG